GCUAAAAAAGCUUUAAUAAGCAUUGGUCUUGUAAACCAAAGACUGAAUACAUUAUAUUCUUUUAGUA